rnacentral:rRNA from 1 species
UACGAAGGGGGCUAGCGUUUGCUCGGAAUCACUGGGCGUAAAGGGUGCGUAGGCGGGUCUUUUAAGUCAGGGGUGAAAUCCUGGAGCUCAACUCCAGAACUGCCUUUGAUACUGAAGAUCUUGAGUUCGGGAGAGGUGAGUGGAACUGCGAGUGUAGAGGUGAAAUUCGUAGAUAUUCGCAAGAACACCAGUGGCGAAGGCGGCUCACUGGCCCGAUACUGACGCUGAGGUGCGAAAGCGUGGGGAGCAAACAGG